GAACUCCUGUCCGUGGGACAGCCUGGCCCUGCCUCUGCCCAGGGUGGGCUCCGGGUCCAGGAAGGCCAGCCAGACCCCGUCCUCGGGAGCACGGGGCCGAGCCCCCCCCACCCCCCCGCCACCACCACAGGACCGGAACAGAGGAGGGACAGGGCAGAGCGGGGUCCAGAGGUGGGCGUCCCUGGGAUCUGCCGGCCCUCUCACCUCACCAUGCCUUCCUGACCCCUGGGCGCCCACCCACGGGUCCCGCCACUGCACCCACCUCCGCUCACCCCCGGCUCAGGACCCCCCCCGGGGGACAGCCCGCUUUUCUGCAGCUUCCUCCCGCACGAAUCUCCUUCUCGGCCCCGGUGGCCGACUGCUCCUGAACCGCGCUCUCGCAGGAGCGCCCGUGUGUGGUGACUGGGCACGCUGGCACUUGGGGGGGGGUGCGGGCCGUGCCGCCCCUGCACUCUUACUCCCGAUGUCGCUGCCUCAGCAGAUGCCGUCCCCACCACCCCUGCGGAGCGGUCCUGGGCAGAUGCCACCUCGGUGCUGGCCAGGGGGUCCGUUUGGGACCACAGCCCUGGGUGAUCCCUGGCCUUUUCUUACCCCGAUGGGUGUGAAGUUUACUGCCCUCUAACGGUCUGAGUUCCCUGCGAAUGUGAUGUAUUCAUUUAUCAUUUUAAGCAUUCCAGAUGCCUGAUAAGAAACAUUCCCAAACUUCCCAAACCCCGAAAUUACUCUUCCUCACCUGAUAAACCAGCUCAGGGCAGACGGAGUUCACUCGCGGAUUCCACUACCGGUUUGCAAGUUCAGUUACUUCUCGUGUCAGCUUAGAGCCGCAUGGCAACAACAGGUUCUUCCUACACUUGAGCUUGAAGGCAGCAGAUGCAAUGGCUGACAUAGCGCGUCGCCUCUGUGGGGUCCCCGUGCGGCACCCGCGGCUGUCGGUAUGUGAAGGGCGCGAUGAACGGACAGUUUUGGCUUUCAGAGACAUUGAACGAAAGUACAAAGAAUUUUGGGGGGCUCAGUUCGUUAAGCCUCUGACUCCGGAUUUCGGCUCAGGUCAUGACCGCACGGUUUCGGGGAUCAAGCCGCACAUCGAGCUCUGCACUGACUGUGAGGAGCCUGCUCGGGAUCCUCUCUCCCUCUCUCUACCCCACGCGCAUGCGUGGGCUCGCUCGCUCUCAGAAGUAAAUAAACAUUAAAAGAACAAAGAAA